rnacentral:rRNA from 1 species
UACGAAGGGGGCUAGCGUUGCUCGGAAUUACUGGGCGUAAAGGGCGCGUAGGCGGCACUGUUAGUCAGGCGUGAAAGUCUGGGCCUCAACCUGGGAACUGACGCUUGAUACGGCAGAGCUAGAGGAUGGAAGAGGCUCGCGGAAUUCCCAGUGUAGAGGUGAAAUUCGUAGAUAUUGGGAAGAACACCGGUGGCGAAGGCGGGUCUCUGGGC